rnacentral:tRNA from 1 species
UGUGGGGUGGAGCAGUCUGGUAGCUCGUUGGGCUCAUAAUCCCGCUUAGCGGGAUCGCUGGUUCAAAUCCAGCCCCCGCUA